CCUACGGGCGACAGCAGUGAGGAAUAUUGGUCAAUGGACGAGAGUCUGAACCAGCCAAGUAGCGUGAAGGAUGACUGCCCUAUGGGUUGUAAACUUCUUUUAUAUGGGAAUAAAAUGUUCCACGUGUGGGAUUUUGUAUGUAUCAUAUGAAUAAGGAUCGGCUAACUCCGUGCCAGCAGCCGCGGUAAUACGGAGGAUCCGAGCGUUAUCCGGGUUUAUUGGGUUUAAAGGGAGCGUAGGUGGAGUGUUAAGUCAGUUGUGAAAGUUUGCGGCUCAACCGUAAAAUUGCAGUUGAAACUGGCAGUCUUGAGUGCAGUAGAGGUGAGCGGAAUUCGUGGUGUAGCGGUGAAAUGCUUAGAUAUCACGAAGAACUCCGAUUGCGAAGGCAGUUCACUGGACUGCAACUGACACUGAGGCUCGAAAGUGUGGGUAUCAAACAGGAUUAGAUACCCGAGUAGUC
rnacentral:rRNA from 1 species